rnacentral:rRNA from 1 species
AACGAACGCUGGCGGCAUGCCUAACACAUGCAAGUCGAACGAGACCUUCGGGUCUAGUGUCGCACGGGUUCGUAACGCGUGGGAACCUGCCCUUAGGUUCGGAAUAACUCCCCGAAAGGGGUGCUAAUACGGGAUAAUGUCUUCGGACCAAAGAUUUAUCGCCUUUGGAUGGGCCCGCGUUGGAUUAGCUAGUUGGUAGGGUAAAAGCCUACCAAGGCGACGAUCCAUAGCUGGUCUGAGAGGAUGAUCAGCCACACUGGGACUGGGACACGGCCCAGACUCCUCCGGGAAGCAGCAGUGGGGAAUAUUGGACAAUGGGCGAAAGCCUGAUCCAGCAAUGCCGCGUGAGUGAUGAAGGCCUUAGGGUUGUAAAGCUCUUUUACCCGGGAUGAUAAUGACAGUACCGGGAGAAUAAGCUCCGGCUAACUCCGUG